CGCCGCCCAGGCGGGACGCCCCCGGCCCCGAGGCGGGGUGAGGCCGCCAAUCUGCUCAGCAGCCAUCUGUAUUCCAGUGUGUGGAGGAGAAAGCUGAGUGAGUCAGUUUCUUCAUUCCUCUUCAGAGUCAUUUUGCUCUGACACUGCCUUGAUGCGCUAGGCUUGUAUCCUUGCUUCAAAAACUGUAACAGUAUGUUCUCUCACAGACCUUCAUAGCAAAGAAGAUUUAAACGAUAAAAUAUGUUGACAAGCCUAUAAGAGUUUGAAUAUAGCAAGAACAGAGCAGCAGGGGGAGAAAACAUUAGGUAGUAACUAGCAAUAGGUCCUUAAGCCUCCUAAUCAGCUGCAUAUAACAAGGAAGAAAUGUGACGAAAUAAAUACAUACAAAUGUGCUGACGUAGUCCAUGAAUAAAAUAAAAGAGUUUUACAGUUUCUGGAAUUCAAGCUAACUUGCAGUAAUAUUUAGUCUGCCUUACUAAAUUCCAAUUUUAGGGGGUUGUCUGUUUUCCUUAGUAAAAAGAAUUUCCCCUUAACACACUGCUAGAUAUGAGAAAUGGGAAUGCAGGAGGAUGUAUGAAUGAGAUGAAGAAAUGGGAGGAGCUGAGAUGAGCACACGUGGUAGGGAAUCCGGAGCUGUCUGAGCAUAAGAGAAUUUCAUAGGAGUAAAAAAAAAAAAAAAAAACAACAAAGAGAGAUGGAAGGUGAAAAAAAGAGCCCUGAGUGAAUGGCAGAUAUAUCUUAAACAUUGUUAUUUAUGAUCAGUAAGUACACCGUUGCCAAAUUCAAGCUGAACUGAAGAAGCCAAAUUUUGCACACAAUAAAUACUAUGCGAUGUUCUGUUAUUUAUAAAACUAGUUAUACGUACAGUUAAUAUUUACUGAAUACCAAAUUCCUUUCUAGUUUGCUCUGUGUAUUUGGAAGAUACAAAAAAUCUUUUCUGCAUCUGGCUGAAAGAAGUUGUAAGAUCUUUACAAAUCAGAGCAUAUUAUUAACAUUCAAAUUAAAAAAUAUUGUCAUGAAUUUUUUGCCAUUUACAUAGGGAGUUCCAGCUCAGCUGAAGACCUGCAUCAAAAUACUUUGGGACUUUCAUUCCUGCAUGCCUGUUUGAUGUUUUGGUGCUCCUAUGGUUAGUAGAUGCCCUCUUGCUGAACCUGGGGAAGAACAUGUGAGUGACAGUGGCAACAGUCAUACAACCAGGUGAUACAAUCUGCUGGCCACAAAACAGCAAACCUGGCUAUGUAGAGUAGACAGGUAAAUUAAAAAAGCUUGAAUUGAGGAAGGGCUGUUUCUGUUAUAUCAAUUCUAACAAUAGGUUUAAACAUCAUCUGGAUAGGGAUUUGCUUUUUAGGUGCCUUUAAUCGAUGCUGAAUUUGAAAAGUAAAUGUGUAAUGUCGAAAAUUGUCCAGUUCAUAACAAUAGUGAGAUAAGGAUGUAAUUCUUAUCAAAGUACCCAUUGGUCUCUCUAACCAUCACCACUGCACAAGAGAAGAGAUCACACCUCAGUAAUGGAAAAGGUGCACCAAACAAAUGAAUCGCUCCUCUUUCAAUGUUAUUUUAAGCUAUGUUCCUUCUUCCAGGUUUUGGGGAACGUAGACAACAGGAAUCAAAUCAUUCAAAGAGUUCAUUGUCUGAUCAUCCAUUUGAAGAAAGCUUCAACAUUUUUUACGUGCUGGUUGUAUUAACAGAUUAUUUUUUAUUUUUUUGCCUAUUAAGAUGGGCCCACGUCCAAAUUGCGACAUCCUGAAUUGUGUGUGAGCUAAAUCUGGUUACAGAUACAAAUCUGAAUAUUAUGAGCAGGGUGGAGUUGAGCUAAAGAUCUGACUCCCUCGGCCUUGUGACUUGGAUGUGACAUGAGUUUGGCAUGUCCAAGCUAACCCUAUUUUUUUACCUAGCUCCUGAAUAAAUUGGAAACUUAAAAAGGCACUGUCAUGUUUUGUAUCUGAAACCAUAAGGUGGUCUUAAGCUGCCUGCAGUGCUGUAAAUUUGAGUUUCUUUUGUUGCUGUUGUUAUUCAUUGGGAAAGAAUGCGGCCCGGUUUCCAGUGACAGAGGGUGUGAAAUGGUAUAAAGUAGAAGUAAAAGGUGGAUUAUUUUGAAGAGACAAAAAAAACAAACCAAAACAAAACCAUAGUUCCCUGUUCAACAGGGACCAAAUAACCAUGGAGCCAGUUUCCUAUGUAAGUAACUGCGAUUCUGUCAUGUGACAGUUACAUGGAGUCACAUACUGAACAAAGAAUUUUCUUAAAAAAAAAAAAAAAAAAAAAAGAAAAAGAACUGUAGUCUAUGAAGCUGCUUUUAAAUGCUCAAUGCUCCCUGCUCCCUUCCCCCAUCUCCUUGGCUUCUUGUUUCAGCCUAAGUAGUAGAGCACACAAGUUAUUCAAGUUUAGAAACUAGUUAGUGAAAUUGAAUUCAUAAAUGAGUGCUAGUGAUUUUAGACCAUAAAAUGGAUCCUAAUUUAUUUUUACAAGCAGCAUGACUGAGGUUAAGCUUGAAGGUUGCUGUAGCCAGACAGGUUUUUUUGUAAAGCUGGUGAGUGAGGAGCAUCGACACCACAUAGGAUACACGUUAGAUACCUAUGCUUAUGUAGCAUGUACUUACAUAGUGUAGAGUUUUGAACUCAGAAUUUUUUUGUGAAAUACACAGGUCUGGGUCAGAUCUGUAUUUCGAAAUAAAGCCUCUAAAAAAACACUGCUGAAAGAAAGCAAAUAGAUUUUUAUACAUUUUGUAAUCUGAUGUUAACAGUCACAGUGAGGUAAACAUUUAUAAAUCACUUGUAACUGGCAGGCUGUUAACUUCUGGUAAAUGGUUUGCUCAGACAAUGGAGUAGAGUCUUUCUUGACAUCUAAAAGUGUUUAUUCACUCAGAUGACAUUAAUAGGUUGCUGAAACUAAAAUUCAGGGUCGCAACUAAUAUUACAUCUACUUAGAAAUCCCGUUCUGCAGCCAGGUGCAACAGUUUAAAAUCUGUGAGUGAGAGCAGUAAAACAGCUGACAUCCCCAAACUUCCUGCACAAUGGGAACACUGUGGGUUGGUUUUGUUUUUUUUUUUUUGGUCUGUUUGUUUGUUUUUUAAAUCUGGAAUAACUAAAAUGUUGUAAUUAGUUUUUAGUUGAAAUAUUACACGAUCAAAAGAAAACAUUAACUGGUAGCUUUUUGAACUUUUCUUUAUAAUAAAGUCAAAUUAAAAUUUACUUUUUCAGUAAAUGUUUUCAAGGGUUUGGUUCUGCAUCUCAAAAUGAUUCAAUCAUGUUAAGUGAACGUGUUUGAGGAAAUGCCCCUUUUUUGCUCUAAGUAAAGUGGUUAUUGUAGGUGAGGCAUAAUAACUUACUGUACUGAGAUCCUAAUACAGGCAAGCUAGUUGGUAGGUUUCUCGUGUUCUUCGUGCUAUUGGGGUGAAGGUAAACAGAUAAGAAUAUAAAAUUACUGUAGUCUUCUAGUACAUAUUUUCCUACUAAAAGAAACAAGCUUCUUUCUGCCUCUACCCCCAUUUGCCUUAAGGAAGAUACAGUACAACGUUGGAUGAUUUGGAUUUUGCUGGUAUCACUUAUACUUGACACCUGACUCUGAAUAAGAUAUCCCAAGAGAAGCUCAGCUACCAAACAAAAUAAAAUGCUCAAGUCUCAUAUUGCAAAUUCUUGAAUGAUGUUGGUUCUGUUUCAACCUGGAAAAUUGUAGCACAGUUCCAAACCAGAGCACUUCCUUCUGGAGCUCUGCCUGCCAUCAUGCAGCAGAGCAGAGACCCCCACGGUUCUGUCAUGGGGCAUUUUGUUCUUGCAGCUCCAGCUUUACCCAUGAGUGGAGGCCAUGAAUGAUACUGUUCCUUGGAAAUGUCUUCUUUCUCGGUCAGCAUACUGCAAUUGUUUUGUUAAAAUCAGUAAGUAAACAUCCUGGUCAAAUUCCAGUUCAGAUAACAGCACUCUGCUUACAGAGUUCCUGCAGUUUCAAAUAAAUGGCAUACUUAUGUCUGUUACCCUGUUCUGUGGUAUUGGAUGGUGGUGGUAAGCAGCUGGUAUGUUGUGGCUCAGAGGUGAUCUCAGCUAACUCAGGCAUAAGGUGGAUCCCCUUUGCUUUUCAUUAUUACUUUAAAAUUGAGACAUGUUGAUGAUGGUAAAGUUGCUGAAGUGUCAAACAUUUAUCUCUUUUUUCUUCUUCCUGUACAUCUUGUUCUAACUAUUGCAGAGAUAAAAAUGGUGUCUGAUUUUUAAAAUGAUACAAAUGUAAGUUUUACUCCUUGCCUUCUUCUUAGGCCAUGUCUUAAAUACAUUGAUCUCUCGGAUUGCUGAUAUUAAAUUUGCUAUGGGAUAGGUUCGGUGCAGUUUACCAAUAUAAAGCCAAUGAUAGCUAACAGAUGAAAACAUGACAGUUUCAAUGAAAGUCAGCUUAUCACUUUUUAUCACACACCAGGGAGACAUGUUCAGCACAGCUUGUUUUUCCUUUCUCCGGUUUCAACAGAUCGGGAUGGAUUUUUGAUAUCUAUAAAAUUUGACAUAUCAGAUUGAUGAAUACAGCACAGCAGAGAACGUCCAAUACAUGAAUAAGAUUCAUCACAAAUCAAAACUGAAGUGUGAGCUUAUUCCAAAUUCACAAAGUCCUUGUGGCAGUGAGGCUUCUUUCAGCCGUGAUCUCACAUCAUCUCACACUGCCUGCAGAAGAGAUAAAAUUCAGUAUGAUUCUUUACUUCUUAGACUACAGCAGUUGUUGUCAUUACUUCUCC
rnacentral:lncRNA from 1 species